GUGGGGAAUAUUGCACAAUGGGGGAAACCCUGAUGCAGCGAUGCCGCGUGAAGGAAGAAGAUUUUCGGAUUGUAAACUUCUAUCAGCAAGGAAGAAAACGGACAGUACUUGACUAAGAAGCCCCGGCUAACUACGUGCCAGCAGCCGCGGUAAUACGUAGGGGGCAAGCGUUAUCCGGAAUUACUGGGUGUAAAGGGUGCGUAGGCGGUAUGGCAAGUUUGAUGUGAAACCCACAGGCUUAACCUGUGGCUUGCAUCGAAAACUACUGAACUAGAGUGCAGGAGAGGAAAGCGGAAUUCCUAGUGUAGCGGUGAAAUGCGUAGAUAUUAGGAAGAACACCAGUGGCGAAGGCGGCUUUCUGGACUGCAACUGACGCUGAGGCACGAAAGCGUGGGGAGCAAACAGGAUUAGAAACCCUAGUAGUCC
rnacentral:rRNA from 1 species